GACCUGAGAGGGUGAUCGGCCACACUGGGACUGAGACACGGCCCAGACUCCUACGGGAGGCAGCAGUAGGGAAUCUUCCGCAAUGGACGAAAGUCUGACGGAGCAACGCCGCGUGAGUGAUGAAGGUUUUCGGAUCGUAAAACUCUGUUGUCAGGGAAGAACAAGUAUCGGAGUAACUGCCGGUACCUUGACGGUACCUGACCAGAAAGCCACGGCUAACUACGUGCCAGCAGCCGCGGUAAUACGUAGGUGGCAAGCGUUGUCCGGAAUUAUUGGGCGUAAAGCGCGCGCAGGCGGUCUUUUAAGUCUGAUGUGAAAUCCUGCGGCUCAACCGCAAGCGGCCAUUGGAAACUG
rnacentral:rRNA from 1 species